rnacentral:tRNA from 1 species
GGCGAAGUGGUGGAAUUGGUAUACACGGCAGAUUCAAAACCUGCUCCUUCGGGUUGAGGGUUCGAGUCCCUCCUUCGCUA